rnacentral:rRNA from 1 species
CGGAUGGGACCGCGAGGCUCCCGUCGGGAUUCAACCUGCGUUGUGCGAGCGCAGCGAGGGCGGCGACCCCCUUAAGGGGGCCAGGCCCCGCGCGCUCGUCCGACGUUGGCGCACUUCCCGUCGGGUUACAGCCAGGACCGGUUCCCGGGCGGCCUGAAACCGCGAGUUCAAGGUAACCCCACGUGCGCUUGCGCACCGGGGCGUUUAGGUCUGUGCGGUGGCGGCCGCGCUCGGGGACUGAGGAACCUCCCGCCGACGCGUCGGGCGCCCGCGCCCGGUUGCCGGUUUGAGCGGCGUGGACUGUCAUCAGUGCUCGCCAACCGCCGGCCGCCUAGAGUACGGAGCGCUUGCGUGCCCCCGGGUCUCUGGCCGAUUCGGUCGGCACCCCAUCCGACCCGUCUUGAAACACGGACCAAGGAGUCUAACAUGUGUGCGAGUCACCGGGCGGCAAACCCACGGGCGCAAUGAAAGUGAAGGCCUGUUUGCUCAGGCCGAGGUGGGAUCCACCUCCCGUCGGGGGGCGGCGCACCACCGGCCCGUCUCAUUUCCUCGUGAAGGAGGCGGA